rnacentral:tRNA from 1 species
GCCUGGGUGGCUUAGUCCGUUAAGUGUCAGACUCUUGAUUUCAGUUCAUGUCACGAUCUCAGGGUUGUGAGAUCAAGUCCCACCUCAGGCU